AUUGAACGCUGGCGGCAGGCCUAACACAUGCCAGUCGAGCGGAUGAAGGGAGCUUGCUCCUGGAUUCAGCGGCGGACGGGUGAGUAAUGCCUAGGAAUCUGCCUGGUAGUGGGGGAUAACGUCCGGAAACGGGCGCUAAUACCGCAUACGUCCUGAGGGAGAAAGUGGGGGAUCUUCGGACCUCACGCUAUCAGAUGAGCCUAGGUCGGAUUAGCUAGUUGGUGGGGUAAAGGCCUACCAAGGCGACGAUCCGUAACUGGUCUGAGAGGAUGAUCAGUCACACUGGAACUGAGACACGGUCCAGACUCCUACGGGAGGCAGCAGUGGGGAAUAUUGGACAAUGGGCGAAAGCCUGAUCCAGCCAUGCCGAGUGUGUGAAGAAGGUCUUCGGAUUGUAAAGCACUUUAAGUUGGGAGGAAGGGCAGUAAGUUAAUACCUUGCUGUUUUGACGUUACCAACAGAAUAAGCACCGGCUAACUUCGUG
rnacentral:rRNA from 1 species